rnacentral:rRNA from 1 species
CGGCGGACGGGUGAGUAACGCGUGGGUAACCUGCCCCAUACAGGGGGAUAACAGAUAGAAAUGUCUGCUAAUACCGCAUAAGACCACAGCACCGCAUGGUGCAGGGGUAAAAACUCCGGUGGUAUGGGAUGGACCCGCGUCUGAUUAGCUGGUUGGUGAGGUAACGGCUCACCAAGGCGACGAUCAGUAGCCGACCUGAGAGGGUGACCGGCCACAUUGGGACUGAGACACGGCCCAAACUCCUACGGAAGGCAGCAG